CGCUGGGCACCGGGUCUUCCUGGCGUCGUGCCGGUGCCGCUGGAGACCCUUCAGAGGCCCGGCCCUAGCAGGACCUUCUUGAAGCAAAACACGCGGCCUGCUCCCUUCCAAACGCCUCCCGUUUUCCCGUCGCUGCCGUUGGGAGAGCUGUAAACCAGGAUUUCUGUGCGCAGGGACUGGGAUCCGAAGCAGCUCAGGCGGCGGGGGACAUCGCUCCUGUAUCUCAGAUAUUCUUGUGAGGAGCCGCUGAGAGACGUAAAAGACUCGGCAUACUCCCGUGUACGGUUGGUUUCCUCCUCUCAUCCUCUAGACGAGUUGCUGUCCAAGAAACAUGGGAGCCACAUAGGAAAUUUUAAAAUGUCGACGAGGCACCUACCAAUUUCCAAAACCCGGUGUAGCUUUGACCUGCAGCAUGCCUCAGUCGGGGCUGUCCUGUUUCCAGUGGCCAGAAGCCGCCUGUCAGGGCUCCUCUGGGUGCAGCUCAGGCCAUGCGAUGGUCAUGAACGGGGUGAGGAGCCAGACAGCACAGGGACUAAACUAACAAGGCAUGAGCCAUGAAGCACAGAAAAGGCCCCCCUGGUCCCUUUAAAAGCAUCACUGCUCAAAAGGGCUUCUCCGUGGCUCUCAAUCACAGUUACAGAGCCCCAGUGACCGUCCUGACACACCUGCUCCAUCCUACAGUGCAAUGGGCUGUGGCAAGUACUCAAGGAGAAUAAAAGCAUGGCACAGCUUCUGUUAACUCUGGGAUGGGAUGCGGGGGAGGUGGGAGAGAGUGGUGGUUACGGCUUAGGCAGAGGAUACUCACAUCAGCUCGUAGUUUCUGCGGAUCGCCUCUGGUAUAUUGGGCUUUGUCACCCGCACAGCCUGGGGAAGGAUAAAAAGAGCACCUGAUGAGAAGGCGAAGGUAGGGUGACCAAGGUAAGCAGCUUCCCCUUGGUCCUCGAUCUUCCUGCACAGAAAGGACAUCCCUUGAAAGAGGGGAUGCACCUUCAUCAGGGGACGCUCCCACGGUGGCAAUGCUUACUUGGAUGACAAGCCCAGGGGCCAUGGAGGUCAGGUCCUGUUGCAAAGCCAGUUUGAGGUUUUCAUCAAUUUGAUCUGGAAUCAAGAAAG